GUUGUCCGGAUUUAUUGGGCGUAAAGCGAGCGCAGGCGGUGAUUUAAGUCUGAUGUGAAAGCCCCCAGCUCAACUGGGGAGGGUCAUUGGAAACUGGAUCACUUGAGUGCAGAAGAGGAGAGUGGAAUUCCAUGUGUAGCGGUGAAAUGCGUAGAUAUAUGGAGGAACACCAGUGGCGAAGGCGGCUCUCUGGUCUGUAACUGACGCUGAGACUCGAAAGCGUGGGUAGCAAACAGGAUUAGAUACCCUGGUAGUCCACGCCGUAAACGAUGAGUGCUAAGUGUUGGAGGGUUUCCGCCCUUCAGUGCUGCAGUUAACGCAUUAAGCACUCCGCCUGGGGAGUACGACCGCAAGGUUGAAACUCAAUGGAAUUGACGGGGGCCCGCACAAGCGGUGGAGCAUGUGGUUUAAUACGAAGCAACGCGAAGAACCUUACCAGGUCUUGACAUCCUUUGACCGCCCUAGAGAUAGGGUUUCCCCUUCGGGGGCAAAGUGACAGGUGGUGCAUGGUUGUCGUCAGCUCGUGUCGUGAGAUGUUGGGUUAAGUCCCGUAACGAGCGCAACCCUUAUUGUUAGUUGCCAGCAUUGAGUUGGGCACUCUAGCAAGACUGCCGGUGACAAACCGGAGGAAGGCGGGGAUGACGUCAAAUCAUCAUGCCCCUUAUGACCUGGGCUACACACGUGCUACAAUGGGAAGUACAACGAGCAAGCCAAGCCGCAAGGCCUAGCGAAUCUCUGAAAGCUUCUCUCAGUUCGGAUUGCAGGCUGCAACUCGCCUGCAUGAAGCCGGAAUCGCUAGUAAUCGCGGAUCAGCAUGCCGCGGUGAAUCCGUUCCCGGGCCUUGUACACACCGCCCGUCACACCACGAGAGUUUGUAACACCCAAAGUCGGUGCGGCAACCCUUCGGGGAGCCAGCCGCCUAAGGUGGGACGAAUGAUUGGGGUGAAGUC
rnacentral:rRNA from 1 species